rnacentral:rRNA from 1 species
AUUGAACGCUGGCGGCAUGCUUUACACAUGCCAGUCGAACGGCAGCGCGGGCUUCGGCCUGGCGGCGAGUGGCGAACGGGUGAGUAAUGCAUCGGAACGUGCCCAGUAGUGGGGGAUAGCCCGGCGAAAGCCGGAUUAAUACCGCAUACGACCUGAGGGUGAAAGCGGGGGACCGAAAGGCCUCGCGCUAUUGGAGCGGCCGAUGUCGGAUUAGCUAGUUGGUGGGGUAAAGGCUUACCAAGGCGACGAUCCGUAGCUGGUCUGAGAGGACGACCAGCCACACUGGGACUGAGACACGGCCCAGACUCCUACGGGAGGCAGCAGUGGGGAAUUUUGGACAAUGGGGGCAACCCUGAUCCAGCCAUGCCGCGUGCGGGAAGAAGGCCUUCGGGUUGUAAACCGCUUUUGUUCGGGAAGAAAUCCUCUGGGCUAAUACCCCGGGGGGAUGACGGUACCGGAAGAAUAAGCACCGGCUAACUACGUGC